rnacentral:rRNA from 1 species
AGUCGAACGAGAAAGUGGAGCAAUCCAUGAGUACAGUGGCGUACGGGUGAUUAACACGUGGAUCAUCUGCCCUUUAGUGGGGAAUACCGAUUGGAAACCGUCGACAAUACCGCAUAAGCUCGAGAGAGGAAAGCAGCAAUGCGCUGAAGGAGGAGUCCGCGGUCGAUUAGCUAGUUGGUGAGGUAAUGGCUCACCAAGGCUGUGAUCGAUAGCCGGCCUGAGAGGGCACACGGCCACACUGGCACUGAAACACGGGCCAGACUCCUACGGGAGGCAGCAGUGGGGAAUCUUGCACAAUGGGGGAAACCCUGAUGCAGCGACGCCGCGUGAGCGAUGAAGCCCUUCGGGGUGUAAAGCUCUUUCGGCAGGGAAGAUUAUGACGGUACCUGCAGAAGCAGCUGCGGCUAACUACGUGCCAGCAGCCGCGGUAAUACGUAGGCAGCAAGCGUUGUUCGGAGUUACUGGGCGUAAAGGGUGCGUAGGCGGUCCUGUAAGUAUGGUGUGAAAUCUCCCGGCUUAACUGGGAGGGUGCGCUAUAGACUGCGGGACUAGAGGGUGGGAGAGGAAAGUGGAAUUCCUGGUGUAGCGGUGAAAUGCGUAGAUAUCAGGAGGGACACCGGUGGUGUAAACGGCUUUCUGGACCAUUUCUGACGCUGAGGCACGAAAGCGUGGGUAGCAAACAGGAUUAGAUACCCUGGUAGUCCACGCCCUAAACGAUGCAUAUUUGGUGUGGGUCAUUCAGUUGAUCCGUGCCGGAGCUAACGCGUUAAAUAUGCCGCCUGGGGAGUACAGUCGCAAGGCUGAAACUCAAAGGAAUUGACGGGGGCCCGCACAAGCGGUGGAGCAUGUGGUUUAAUUCGACGCA